UGGGGAAUAUUGGACAAUGGGCGGAAGCCUGAUCCAGCCAUGCCGCGUGUGUGAAGAAGGCCUUUUGGUUGUAAAGCACUUUAAGCGAGGAGGAGGCUACUUGGAUUAAUACUCUAGGAUAGUGGACGUUACUCGCAGAAUAAGCACCGGCUAACUCUGUGCCAGCAGCCGCGGUAAUACAGAGGGUGCGAGCGUUAAUCGGAUUUACUGGGCGUAAAGCGUGCGUAGGCGGCUUCUUAAGUCGGAUGUGAAAUCCCUGAGCUUAACUUAGGAAUUGCAUUCGAUACUGGGAAGCUAGAGUAUGGGAGAGGAUGGUAGAAUUCCAGGUGUAGCGGUGAAAUGCGUAGAGAUCUGGAGGAAUACCGAUGGCGAAGGCAGCCAUCUGGCCUAAUACUAACGCUGAGGUACGAAAGCAUGGGGAGCAAACAGG
rnacentral:rRNA from 1 species